UCCCUAUUGGCCUACUGUCGCCUAGAAGUCAUACAGAUGGACCUAAAUAUGGAUAUCAACAUCUACAGCAAGAUGUACAGACACAACAGAACAGCAGCCUCUACAUGUUGCGAAGCCUACUGCAACAAAAACGUGAUCUUACUGUCUUUGCAACUGAGCACACUCUACCAGCAACACUGACAGCUCACCAGUGGGAGCUGAUAGAUAAGACUGCUCAUGUGCUCUCAUCCAUUGAAGAGCUGACCAGAAACGUGAACAGAAAGACUGCAACUGCACCUGAUGGGAUCCCUGCCAUAACAGAUGUGUUCUGUCCAGUGAAGGCAGUGGAGAAGCCCUACACUGAUGUUGAAACUGUGCCACUCUUCUAGAAACCAGCUACAAGGAUGGGCAGCUGUUUUCGCAAAGUCAGCCAACCUCUUGCUUCCAAAUGACCCUU